rnacentral:rRNA from 1 species
AUGGACGCAGUCUGAUGGAGCAACGCCGCGUGAGUGAAGAAGGGUUUCGGCUCGUAAAGCUCUGUUGGUAGUGAAGAAAGAUAGAGGUAGUAACUGGCCUUUAUUUGACGGUAAUUACUUAGAAAGUCACGGCUAACUACGUGCCAGCAGCCGCGGUAAUACGUAGGUGGCAAGCGUUGUCCGGAUUUAUUGGGCGUAAAGCGAGUGCAGGCGGUUCAAUAAGUCUGAUGUGAAAGCCUUCGGCUCAACCGGAGAAUUGCAUCAGAAACUGUUGAACUUGAGUGCAGAAGAGGAGAGUGGAACUCCAUGUGUAGCGGUGGAAUGCGUAGAUAUAUGGAAGAACACCAGUGGCGAAGGCGGCUCUCUGGUCUGCAACUGACGCUGAGGCUCGAAAGCAUGGGUAGCGAACAGGAUUAGAUACCCUGGUAGUCCAUGCCGUAAACGAUGAGUGCUAAGUGUUGGGAGGUUUCCGCCUCUCAGUGCUGCAGCUAACGCAUUAAGCACUCCGCCUGGGGAGUACGACCGCAAGGUUGAAACUCAAAGGAAUUGACGGGGGCCCGCACAAGCC